rnacentral:rRNA from 1 species
AGGGCGCUUACCACUUUGUGAUUCAUGACUGGGGUGAAGUCGUAACAAGGUAACCGUAGGGGAACCUGCGGUUGGAUCACCUCCUUACCUAAAGA